rfam:Hespellia stercorisuis DSM 15480 genome assembly, contig: EJ65DRAFT_scaffold00022.22
GGCGUCAUAGCCAAGUGGUAAGGCAUGGGUCUGCAACACCCUGAUCGGCAGUUCAAAUCUGCCUGACGCCU